GAUGAACGCUGGCGGCGUGCCUAAUACAUGCAAGUCGAGCGAACAGACGAUGAGCUUGCUCCUCUGACGUUAGCGGCGGGCGUGUGAGUAACACGUGGAUAACCUACCUAUAAGACUGGGAUAACUUCGGGAAACCGGAGCUAAUACCGGAUAAUAUAUUCAACCUCAUGGUUCAAUAGUUAAAGACUGGUUUGCUGUCACUUCUCGAUCUAUCCGCGCCGCAUUAGCUAGUUGGUAAGGUAACGGCUUACGAAGGCGACGAUGCGUAGCCGACCUGAGAGGGGGAUCGGCCACACUGGAACGAAGACACGGACCAGACUCCAACGGGAGGCAGCAGUAGGGAAGCUGCCGCCAUGGGCGAAAGCUUGACGGAGCAACGACGCGUGAGGGAUGAAGGUCUUCGGAGCGUAAAACGCUGUCAGUAGGGAAGAACAAAUGUGUAAGUACCUAUGCACGUCUUGACGGUACCUAAUCAGAAAGCAACGGCUAACUACGUG
rnacentral:rRNA from 1 species